rnacentral:tRNA from 1 species
CGCGUUGGUGAGAAGACCAGGCUUCGAACCCGAUGGCGGGGCUGC